rnacentral:tRNA from 3 species
GUCCCCGUAGCUCAGCAGGAUAGAGCGUCCCCCUCCUAAGGGGAAGGUCGCAGGUUCGACUCCUGCCGGGGACGCCA